rnacentral:rRNA from 1 species
AUGACUUGCAAUCCUAAAUGGGAAGAGAUAACGAAUGAGUUGCUGCCUGGUCAGACGGCACAAGACCGACCUGAUAUUGUGGCUCGCGUGUUCUUCGGCAAACUAGAGGCUAUGAAGGACAUGUUGUUCAAGAAGCAUAUCCUGGGUGUUGUUGUCGCAUAUGUAUAUGUAGUCGAGCUUCAAAAAAGGGGCCUCCCCCACGCACAUUUUUUGUUGAUCAUGGACUCAACAUAUAAGCUUAUCGUCCCGGAGCAGUAUGACCGAUUCGUUUCCGCAGAGCUCCCAGACAAGCAUAAGUAUUCGGAAUUGUAUGCAAUGGUGGUAAAACAUAUGAUGCACGGACCAUGCGGUGCUCUCAACCAGAAGAAUGUUUACAUGCAAGAAAACGGAUGCUAG